CUCCUCUGGAGGUAAUUUGAGUUACUGGCUGUGAUAUGUUACAAUAUCCCUUCUUAAUGACGGUUGGGCCAGUAGUUUGUCCGUCUUGGGACUUGAGCAAUGUCCAAAUGUUGUAGUCAAGUCCCGUCGCACUAGACGGCUGCACGGUUUCAGAAGCACCGGCUUGUGGGUCAGAUAGCCAAGAGAAACAUGACAUCACAAAUCAGUCUUGUUUGCGAAACCAUUCUCAGAAUCAUCACUCCCCAUUCCCGCUCUACAGGAGUCCUCCAGCCCGCUCUAGUAGUAGUAGUACUUUAACAUAGUAACCACACGAGUACAAAAACGAAAGUAAUUGUUAAUCCUACAAAGUGAAACCCAACACCUAAACUGUGGUGACCCACGGUCUGACCCCAGACUGUGUGUGUGUGCGGGGAGGCGGUACCUUCUCGGCCCAGACGAAGAUGACGUCCUCCUCCAGCAGGUCAGCGUCGUACAGGUCCUUGAGGAUCACGGCCACGCGGGGCAGCAGCUGGGUCUGGUGCAGCUUCACCAGGCACUCGAAGCCCCCCAGAAGGUACUUCUGGGCCUUCUUGUUGUUGUGGCAGAACUGAGGGGAGGAAAGAGGAGGAGGUUAGCGCCCACAGGACCUUAGAGGAGGUGGUCGGCCGAACAGGACUUCAUAAUGUGGGGGACAUUAGAGGAGGAGGUCAGCCCCAACAGGACUUCAUAAUGUGGGGGACAGAGGAGGAGGAGGUGAGCCCCAACAGGACUUCAUAAUGUGGGGAUCAGGGACUCUAUUUACUCUUUUGGACUCUUGUCUCUAUCUGUAGUUACUUUAGUACGUUUUAAAUAAGCUCAAAUGGGCCUCCAUCUCUCCGGCACAUAACGUUUUUAUUUAAAAAGGCGUAAAAAGUACGUCUGUAAUUGUGGGUCAGAUAGCCAAGAGAAGCAUGACAUCACAAAACAUCAGUCAUGUUUGCGAAACCAUUCUCAGAAUCAUCACUCCCCAUUCCACCACCAGCUCGACAUGAUAAAGGCCCGCCACCAUAAUCUAUCCUCAAGGGGUUUGGGAUCCUAAUCCAAUUAAAAAAAAAUAAAAACGGAUUCAGAAGAAUCGGAAUAACGACGUUCCCAAA